CCUACGGGACGCAGCAGUAGGGAAUUUUCGUCAAUGGGCGCAAGCCUGAACGAGCGAUGCCGCGUGAGUGAAGAAGGCCUUCGGGUCGUAAAGCUCUGUUGCGGGGGAAAAAAGGCAGCAUCAGGAAAUGGGUGCUGACUGAUGGUGCCCCGCCAGAAAGUCACGGCUAACUACGUGCCAGCAGCCGCGGUAAUACGUAGGGGGCAAGCGUUAUCCGGAUUUAUUGGGUUUAAAGGGUGCGUAGGCGGUCCGGAAAGUCAGCGGUAAAAGCCCGGGGCUCAACCCCGGCGAGCCGUU
rnacentral:rRNA from 1 species